CUAGCCUAAUAAAUAGCUCGACCGCUCCCGCGUGGGUUGGUGCUAACUUAUUAGAGAGAGAAGUGGGGUGUUAGUCACACGCGAGAGAUCGAGCAAUAAUAUGUUUUUCCUUCCCUUAGAUGUCGGGGCCCGCACGCGCCAUACAGUGAAGGAAUCAGGGUGGAUCCUUCCCUCGCCAGAGAGGGUUAGCACACCCGUUGUCUUUCCUUAGUGAUAGGGAUUGGGGCUUGAAAUUCUCCCCCAAGAGGGAGGACUUCCCAGUGAGCGCGAGUCACACGCUCGGGUUGAUUACCUCCCUUCCGUUUGCACACACCGCCCGUCGUUACUAUUGAAUGGCUGGUUGAGGGCGGCCCUUGAGUUUGUUUCGGCCCGCCUUUCAGCGGGGGGCGGGGCGGGUCGAGAAGACGCUCGAACUUGAUCGUUUAGAGGAAGUAAAAGUCCUAACAAGGUUUCGGUAGGUGAACGUGGGGAAGGAUCAUUAA
rnacentral:rRNA from 1 species